CCUACGGGUGACAGCAGUGAGGAAUAUUGGUCAAUGGACGCAAGUCGGAACCAGCCAUGCCGCGUGCAGGAAGACGGUCCUAUGGAUUGUAAACCUCUUUUGUCAGGGAGCAAAGGGCGCCACGUGUGGCGCUUUGCGAGUACCUGAAGAAAAAGCAUCGGCUAACUCCGUGCCAGCAGCCGCGGUAAUACGGAGGAUGCGAGCGUUAUCCGGAUUGAUUGGGUUUAAAGGGUGCGCAGGCGGAAUGUCAAGUCAGCGGUAAAAUUUCGGGGCUCAACCCCGUCGUGCCGUUGAAACUGGCGUUCUUGAGUGAGCGAGAAGUAUGCGGAAUGCGUGGUGUAGCGGUGAAAUGCAUAGAUAUCACGCAGAACUCCGAUUGCGAAGGCAGCAUACCGGCGCUCAACUGACGCUCAUGCACGAAAGCGUGGGUAUCGAACAGGAUUAGAUACCCGUGUAGUC
rnacentral:rRNA from 1 species